rnacentral:tRNA from 1 species
UGCGGAUUAGAGAAACGGUUAUCUCAUUUGGCUCAUAACCAAAAGGCAAUCAGUUCGACUCUGAUAUCCGCUA